rnacentral:rRNA from 1 species
CCACAGAGGGUGAGAGCCCCGUCUGGCUGGCCGCCGAGCCUCUGUAAAGCUCCUUCGACGAGUCGAGUAGUUUGGGAAUGCUGCUCAAAAUGGGAGGUAUAUGUCUUCUAAAGCUAAAUAUUGGCCAGAGACCGAUAGCGCACAAGUAGAGUGAUCGAAAGAUGAAAAGCACCUUGAAAAGAGGGUUAAAUAGUACGUGAAAUUGUUGAAAGGGAAGCGCUUGUGACCAGACUUGGGCGCGGCGGAUCAUCCGGGGUUCUCCCCGGUGCACUUCGCCGCGUCCAGGCCAGCAUCAGUUCGUCGCGGGGGAAAAAGGCUUCGGGAACGUGGCUCCCUCGGGAGUGUUAUAGCCCGUUGCGUAAUACCCUGCGGUGGACUGAGGACCGCGCAUCUGCAAGGAUGCUGGCGUAAUGGUCACCAGCGACCCGUCUUGAAACACGGACCAAGGAGUCGUCUUCGUAUGCGAGUGUUCGGGUGUCAAACCCCUACGCGUAAUGAAAGUGAACGCAGGUGAGAGCUUCGGCGCAUCAUCGACCGAUCCUGAUGUUCUCGGAUGGAUUUGAGUAAGAGCAUACGGGGCCGGACCCGAAAGAAGGUGAACUAUGCCUGUAUAGGGUGAAGCCAGAGGAAACUCUGGUGGAGGCUCGCAGCGGUUCUGACGUGCAAAUCGAUCGUCAAAUAUGGGCAUGGGGGCGAAAGACUAAUCGAACCUUCUAGUAGCUGGUUUCCGCCGAAGUUUCCCUCAGGAUAGCAGUGUUGAACUCAGUUUUAUGAGGUAAAGCGAAUGAUUAGGGACCCGGGGGCGCUAUAUUGCCUUCAUCCAUUCUCAAACUUUAAAUAUGUAAGAAGCCCUUGUUGCUUAAUUGAACGUGGGCAUUCGAAUGUAUCAACACUAGUGGGCCAUUUUUGGUAAGCAGAACUGGCGAUGCGGGAUGAACCGAACGCGAGGUUAAGGUGCCAGAGUAGACGCUCAUCAGACACCACAAAAGGCGUUAGUACAUCUUGACAGCAGGACGGUGGCCAUGGAAGUCGGAAUCCGCUAAGGACUGUGUAACAACUCACCUGCCGAAUGUACUAGCCCUGAAAAUGGAUGGCGCUCAAGCGUCUCACCCAUACCUCGCCCUCGGGGUAGAAACGAUGCCCCGAGGAGUAGGCGGACGUGGGAGGUCGUGACGAAGCCUAGGGC